GUCUUCGUGGUGUAAUUGGAAGCACGUCCGGCUAGCAGUCGGGAGGUCCAGAGUUCGAAUCUUGACCAGGACA
rnacentral:tRNA from 1 species